CUCCUGGUCUCCAUCGCCGGGAAUACUGAAGAGGCACACCUUCCUUGCCUGAAGUGCGGCGGGUUCAAGCCCUCCAAACCAUGGCAGACGAAAGCGGAAUGCUCGCGUUUUCUGGCGCGGGUUUCCGACCAAGUCGCGUCGCGAAACCGUGACUCCCGA
rfam:Aurantimonas sp. 22II-16-19i contig1, whole genome shotgun sequence.